GCGAACUGAUUAGAAGCUUGCUUCUAUGACGUUAGCGGCGGACGGGUGAGUAACACGUGGGCAACCUGCCUGUAAGACUGGGAUAACUUCGGGAAACCGAAGCUAAUACCGGAUAGGAUCUUCUCCUUCAUGGGAGAUGAUUGAAAGAUGGUUUCGGCUAUCACUUACAGAUGGGCCCGCGGUGCAUUAGCUAGUUGGUGAGGUAACGGCUCACCAAGGCAACGAUGCAUAGCCGACCUGAGAGGGUGAUCGGCCACACUGGGACUGAGACACGGCCCAGACUCCUACGGGAGGCAGCAGUAGGGAAUCUUCCGCAAUGGACGAAAGUCUGACGGAGCAACGCCGCGUGAGUGAUGAAGGCUUUCGGGUCGUAAAACUCUGUUGUUAGGGAAGAACAAGUACGAGAGUAACUGCUCGUACCUUGACGGUACCUAACCAGAAAGCCACGGCUAACUACGUGCCAGCAGCCGCGGUAAUACGUAGGUGGCAAGCGUUAUCCGGAAUUAUUGGGCGUAAAGCGCGCGCAGGCGGUUUCUUAAGUCUGAUGUG
rnacentral:rRNA from 1 species